UACGUAGGGGGCUAGCGUUGUCCGGAAUCAUUGGGCGUAAAGAGCGUGUAGGCGGCCCGAUAAGUCCGCUGUAAAAGUCAAAGGCUCAACCUUAGAAUGUCAGUGGAUACUGCCGGGCUAGAGUCCGGAAGAGGCGAGUGGAACUCCUGGUGUAGCGGUGGAAUGCGCAGAUAUCAGGAGGAACACCGGUGGCGAAGGCGGUUCUCUGGGCAUUACCUGACGCUGAGGAGCGAAAGUGUGGGGAGCGAACAGG
rnacentral:rRNA from 1 species